UAGGGGUAGCAGGAAUUCCCAGUGUAGCGGUGAAAUGCGUAGAUAUUGGGAAGAACAUCGGUGGCGAAGGCGUGCUACUGGACCGUAACUGACACUCAGGGACGAAAGCUAGGGGAGCGAAAGGGAUUAGAUACCCCUGUAGUCCUAGCUGUAAACGAUGGAAACUAGGUGUGGCUUGUAUCGACCCGAGCCGUGCCGUAGCUAACGCGUUAAGUUUCCCGCCUGGGGAGUACGCACGCAAGUGUGAAACUCAAAGGAACUGACGGGGGCCCGCACAAGCGGUGGAGUAUGUGGUUUAAUUCGAUGCAACGCGAAGAACCUUACCAGGGCUUGACAUGUCGCGAAUCUCGGUGAAAGCUGAGAGUGCCUUCGGGAGCGCGAACACAGGUGGUGCAUGGCUGUCGUCAGCUCGUGUCGUGAGAUGUUGGGUUAAGUCCCGCAACGAGCGCAACCCUUAUUUUUAGUUGCCAGCAUUAAGAUGGGCACUCUAGAAAGACUGCCGGUGACAAACCGGAGGAAGGUGAGGACGACGUCAAGUCAGCAUGCCCCUUACGCCCUGGGCUACACACGUACUACAAUGGUUGGGACAAAGGGCAGCGACUCCGCAAGGAAUAGCGAAUCUCAUCAAACCCAGCCUCAGUUCAGAUUGCAGGCUGCAACUCGCCUGCAUGAAGGAGGAAUCGCUAGUAAUCGCAGGUCAGCAUACUGCGGUGAAUUCGUUCCCGGGCCUUGUACACACCGCCCGUCACACCAUGGAAGCUGGUCACGCCCGAAGUAGUUACCCUAACCUUUCGAGGAGGGGGAUUCCUAAGGCAGGGCUAGUGACUGGGGUGAAGUCGUAACAAGGUAACC
rnacentral:rRNA from 1 species